UUUUGGAUACCUGAAAAGCAAAAACAGAACAAGAACAAAUUUCAUAUGGAUUAGUUGAAAUGCUCCUCACUUUUUCUGGUUCAUUUGUCUCUUUUUCUCUCGUUUCUUUUUUAAUCUCAACUUCUUUUUUUCUCUUUUCAUUUCCUCUCUCGUUUUCAAUUUUAUUUUUGACCUCACUCUCCUUUUUUAUUUCUUUUUCUUUUUCAAUCUCUUUUUCUUUUUCUUCGAUUUCUUUUUUUCGCUCGCAC
rnacentral:lncRNA from 1 species